GGGGAUGUAACUCAGGGGUAGAGUGCACGCUUCGCAUCGCAAGACCGCCUGCGUGAAGUCUAGGGUUCAAAUCCCUACUUCUCCA